GAUGAACGCUGGCGGCGUGCCUAAUACAUGCAAGUCGAGCGAACAGACGAGGAGCUUGCUCCUUUGACGUUAGCGGCGGACGGGUGAGUAACACGUAGGUAACCUACCUAUAAGACUGGGAUAACUUCGGGAAACCGGAGCUAAUACCGGAUAAUAUUUCGAACAGCAUGGUUCGAUAGUGAAAGAUGGCUUUGCUAUCACUUAUAGAUGGACCUGCGCCGUAUUAGCUAGUUGGUAAGGUAACGGCUUACCAAGGCAACGAUACGUAGCCGACCUGAGAGGGUGAUCGGCCACACUGGAACUGAGACACGGUCCAGACUCCUACGGGAGGCAGCAGUAGGGAAUCUUCCGCAAUGGGCGAAAGCCUGACGGAGCAACGCCGCGUGAGUGAUGAAGGUCUUCGGAUCGUAAAACUCUGUUAUUAGGGAAGAACAAACGUGUAAGUAACUGUGCACGUCUUGACGGUACCUAAUCAGAAAGCCACGGCUAACUACGUG
rnacentral:rRNA from 1 species